rnacentral:rRNA from 1 species
CCUACGGGAGGCAGCAGUGGGGAAUAUUGGACAAUGGGCGCAAGCCUGAUCCAGCCAUACCGCGUGUGUGAAGAAGGCCUUUUGGUUGUAAAGCACUUUAAGCGAGGAGGAGGCUCUUGAGGAUAAUACCCUUGAUGAGUGGACGUUACUCGCAGAAUAAGCACCGGCUAACUCUGUGCCAGCAGCCGCGGUAAUACAGAGGGUGCGAGCGUUAAUCGGAAUUACUGGGCGUAAAGCGCGCGUAGGCGGCUUGUUAAGUCGGAUGUGAAAUCCCCGGGCUCAACCUGGGCACUGCAUUCGAUACUGGCAAGCUAGAGUAUGGGAGAGGAAGGUAGAAUUCCAGGUGUAGCGGUGAAAUGCGUAGAGAUCUGGAGGAAUACCGAUGGCGAAGGCAGCCUUCUGGCCUAAUACUGACGCUGAGGUGCGAAAGCAUGGGGAGCAAACAGGAUUAGAUACCCUGGUAGUCCAUGCCGUAAACGAUGUCAACUAGCCGUUGGGGACCUUGAGUCUUUAGUGGCGCGNGCGUAACGACGAGUUAAGUUAGUACCGCCGUUGGGGUAGGUUACGGUUCGGCGAGAACGUUAAAACCGUUAACGAAAGGAAAGUUAGACGGCGUUGAGGACGNGCCGACGGACGACGACGAAGGGGAAGGUAGGNG